UACGGGGGGGGCAAGCGUUGUUCGGAAUUACUGGGCGUAAAGGGCUCGUAGGCGGCCAACUAAGUCGGAUGUGAAAUCCCCAGGCUCAACCUGGGAACUGCAUCCGAUACUGGAUGGCUUGAAUUCGGGAGAGGGAUGCAGAAUUCCAGGUGUAGCGGUGAAAUGCGUAGAUAUCUGGAGGAAUACCGGUGGCGAAGGCGGCAUCCUGGACCGGCAUUGACGCUGAGGAGCGAAAGCUAGGGGAGCAAACGGG
rnacentral:rRNA from 1 species